rnacentral:rRNA from 1 species
GACGAACGCUGGCGGCGUGCUUAACACAUGCAAGUCGAGCGAUGAAGUUCCUUCGGGAAUGGAUUAGCGGCGGACGGGUGAGUAACACGUGGGUAACCUGCCUCAUAGAGGGGAAUAGCCUUUCGAAAGGAAGGUUAAUACUGCAUAAGAUUGUAGUAUCGCAUGAUACAGCAAUUAAAGGAGUAAUCCGCUAUGAGAUGGACCCGCGUCGCAUUAGCUAGUUGGUGAGGUAACGGCUCACCAAGGCGACGAUGCGUAGCCGACCUGAGAGGGUGAGCGGCCACAUUGGGACUGAGACACGGCCCAGACUCCUACGGGAGGCAGCAGUGGGGAAUAUUGCACAAUGGGGGAAACCCGGAUGCAGCAACGCCGCGUGAGUGAUGACGGUCUUCGGAUUGUAAAACUCUGUCUUCAGGGACGAUAAUGACGGUACCUGAGGAGGAAGCCACGGCUAACUACGUGCCAGCCGCCGCGGUAA